CCCUUUGUCUGUUGUCCCUGGGAGAGAGAGGACAGAGCAGAGUCAGGGCUGGGACUAUGCCGUAAAACGCUUUUUGUCAGGUAUUGAAUCAAAUGCCUACAGCUGCUUCUCAACCAACCCAAAGGCACACGAAGGCUCACCGUUCGCUGUUCAUCUCCCUCCCGGACAUGGAAUGUGUGUUCAAACACUGUAUACAUGAUCCUUCCAAUACCGAAUGAGGGCUCAAUCACAUUCGGGACUAUUUCUUCCACUAGAGCACAAAACACAUUGCAUUCAGAAAGGCAGUUUACAAAAGCACAGUUAUUUGAUUGAACCUGCACUCCUUCACACAGGUCUAGAUUUACUGCAGGUGAACGUAUAUAGAGAUGGGUUUAUAUAGCUCUGCUUCCAAUGGGAAUACUUGGAGAUCAAGAUUUGGACGACACAUACUGAUAAGGGUGCUAUCAUUUUAGUAUGAAUCUAGUUGUCUGAGCAAAGGAGAGGGGGAGACGGCACAGCAUUUUAGAAAAAGUCUUGGCAGACAAAUUGAGAAGCUAGAGUUUGUUAGUUUCUAGAACUAGCUUGUAUGCUUCUAAGUGACAAUGCCAUUUUGCUUAUAUGCUGAAAAGCCAUUUCUGAUGUACUAGCCUCGUGUUCCCAUCUUCACUGGUUAGAAUAAUAACUGUUCUGUGAAACAGGCCAGUGCUGCUCUGCCAGCCACUGUGGCACAACACCGUCUCCCACCGGGAUUAUAUUUACAGGUCAACUUAUGCCAUUUUUAAUUUGUUUCUAAGAGCCAUAGCCCUAUGAAACAUGGAUACAGAACAUUAGAUUCCUUCACUCUGGCUAUGCCUCCCCUUCCAGCCAUGAUGGAUAAGCUGAACUCUGAGUCUGUACUAAUACAAAUUAAGUGACCAGCAACCAAAACUCCAGCUGACUGCUCUGAGAUAAUAAAAUGGAGAUGGACUACGAGUGUAGUUACUUUCUACCACUGACUGACAGGCACUUAGAGACCUUGCUAAUGCCUGAAGAUUGUGUACGUCUCUGAGGCAGAGUAAGAGUUAAGGAUGCUCUGCACCUAACAGGAAGCACUUUGAAUCUUGCAGGACUGGCUCGUAAGUGAUUAAAAAAAAGCUGAGGAAGGAUGAUGAUCUAGUGGUUAGGAUGCCUACCUGGAUCUCUGAGUUAGAAAAUGGGUUAAACUUCUAACUUGACCACAGACUUCCCAUGUGGCCCCAGUCAAGUCACUAAUAGAGCUGGUUGGCAAAACAAAGUUCACUUCCACAAAAGUUAUCAAGAUUUCGGAAGAACUGGGACGAAGCCAAAUCCUCAAAAAAUGUUGCAGAACUGAAAUCCUGCAAUAUUUCCUUUCAGACACAUGGUAUUUCCAAAGUGAUAUAUGCCCCCUGGGAUCCCCAGCCACCUGCUUGGCAGCCUGCAGUGAGGGCAGGCACCCUACAAGCUUCUGACUAAAACUGACACGACUGUCAGUGUUCUCUACUGUCCAUCACUGAAUAGCAGCAACGAAACUGACUCAACUCAUCUUCAGCCUGGUGGGGAGUCAGGAGUGUGGAAGCCCUGGGAGCACAGGCCCUGCUGCAGCCCAUCUCAUGGUGGGCUGCUAAGGAGUUGGGAGCUGUGACACUCACAGAUACACAACUUGUAGAGCAGACUGAGGAGCCAGCUGGCCCAAGAGUUUGGAAGCCCAGGGGUCCCUGACUCUGAGGCCAUCCUCAUGGCGAGCCAUCCUGGAGCUGUGGGCUCUGGAAGCCCAGGUGGGAGAGCUGGCAGGAGACCAAGCCUGGGUUGUCUCGGAAGUCUGUCAAAAUUGAACAGUUUUGUGAAACAUUUUGAUUUUGAUGAAUCAGCGAACAACGAAAAAAUGUUUGGGGAGAAUUUUUCCUACCAGCUCUAGUCACUUAGACUCUCUGGGCCUUAGUCUCCAUCUGUAAAAUGGGGAGAAUAGUACUGCCGUACCUCACAGGGAUGUUAUGAGGCUAAAUACAUUGAACAUUGCAGGUGCCUCACCUAUAGCGGUAAUGGGGGCCAUGUAAGUACCACAGAUAGAAGACAGUCUGUUUACUGAUAAUUACAGAAAGUGAUUCUUUUAUAAGAUGGAAUCCUAUAAAUAACUGUCUGACCAACUUUGACCUGUGCUGGAACUUAUCCUGAAAGGAAAUAAUUCAUAUGAAAACAGAGGGAACAUUUCUUUAAAAAAACCAUUAGCCCCAAAACUUGGUACCUUAACUUAGGCACCGUAAUAAAAAUAACUUGAUUUACCAAGGUGCUUCCACUGAAGUCAAUGAAAGCAGCAGGUUCUCAGCACCUCUGAGAUUGAGCCACUUAUUUAGGAACCUAUAUACUGAUUUAGGUGCUUAAUUUUAGGCACCUAAGUCUCAACAUUUUGACCACAACUUUCAGAUUUGCUUAACUAUCCUGCACUCAAAAUGUAUUGUGAUCAACUUCCCAUCUCUAAGAUUUUUAAAAAGUAAAUAAAGUUACCAUGCAGUUUUUUCUGGAAUCUCUUCACACUGACCAUGUCCUUUGUUAAUUGAAAAGUUUUCCCUUCAGUUUCAACAGUGAAUUCCCUGUAAAGAAAAUACCAGUGCUUUAGUAUUAGUCAACAAAACUAGUUAUGUCACUUUCCCUUAGGUGGUUUUGCUGGUUUAAUUUUUUUUUUUUUAAACAUAAAAAACCAAACUGGUUUGGAGGCUAUACUGAAAAGUCAGCUCAAACUCCAGAGAUCAAAGGAAGAAACAAGUAGCACGUCUCUCUCUCUUUUUUUUUUUUAAAUACUUAAAGUUUUAUCUAGCAUUUUUAUUAUUGUUGUAAAAUAAUAUUUUUCAUAAUCAUUGGUGAACAUAAAAGCAAUGUGGUUAAUAGCCAGGAGCAAAUUCAAUUACAAUAUGGAAGGGUUCCAGGGUGAAAUACAGAAAAAGAAAAAUUAACCACAGGACAACCAGACAUUCAUUCAUUACAGACUUUUCAUGUAUCGUAACACACACAUAUUUUUCAUGUCAAUUGAGUUCUGAUGGAGAGUACCUGACCUCUGCAUGGGAAUUGGAAAAAUCAAAGAUAUUAUUGAUCUGUUAAAGCUUCCCAAACAAGUGGAUGGGCCAAAAUCCAUUUUGACUGAUUCCUACAACUUUUGGUGUUGCUCU